UACGAAGGGGGCUAGCGUUGUUCGGAUUCACUGGGCGUAAAGGGUGCGUAGGUGGCCUGAAAAGUUUGAUGUGAAAUCUCCGGGCUUAACCCGGAAAUGGCAUUGAAUACUACUGUGCUGGAGGUUUGGAGGGGGGACUGGAAUUCUCGGUGUAGCAGUGAAAUGCGUAGAUAUCGAGAGGAACACCAGUGGCGAAGGCGAGUCCCUGGACAACACCUGACACUGAGGCACGAAAGCUAGGGGAGCAAACAGG
rnacentral:rRNA from 1 species